rnacentral:lncRNA from 1 species
GACACAGGCAGGCUCUGUCUCACUUUCUCCUUUUCUUUGCCAGCAAAAUGACACUUAACGAAGAAGGUACCUCCGAACACGCUGGUACGUCCCUGACAAACUUUCAUAAAUACGCCCAGCUGUUUCCCCCAUCUCAGCUCUGUGUAGCCUGCAAAUCACGGAUUAAUUUGCACACAGCUGCUACAGAUUCUAGGGAGACAAGCUCCUGAGAAACAUUCAGUGUUGCCAAUAUUAAGCCUCUAAUUUCCUUAAGUGGAAAGUUUUUAAAGCUGUUCAAGUUGUCUGAGGAAGCUGCAGAGGCAGGACUCCCGGGCUUCCUCGCUGACAGACUCACUGUGAAGCUGAAAAAUCCACUUCGCCGUGAUGGGUCAACAAAGAGAGAAAACAGUAGGUGGUCCUGCCUACUGCUGGAUUAAGUUCAAAGCCUGGAAAGAAAUUUGCAUUUGGAGGGCAGAUACAAGGAGGUAUGUUUUAUUGAAUCUCUGGUACCUUACCCUUUUUCAAGUUCAUAAUGCGUAUGUUGGAU